AGUCCAGGUGUGGAAUGACCAACAAGGACCGUGUGACCUUUGUCAAGCUUAUUAUAGCUUGAGAUGAAAAUUGCAGGUUACCUCGGCUGACGAAUGUCUCUGCAGGAAGUCUCGGCACAGAAACCAAGGACUACAAAGACAGAAGUCUGCCCUUUUACACUGGGCUGCUCUUACUGAUUUCAGCUGCUUUGCGCUGUCCCUGGAGGGAGAGGAGAAUAAGACAAAUUCCUGUCCAGUGCAUUUUCUAGAUCUAUUUGGAGAAGACUGUGGAGUGGAGCUCACUGCAAUGCUUCCUACCACUCUGACAUCUUUGGUUCUCCUGCUGCUUGUUUUUACCAUAUUGUUAUUGUAUCAAAUGUUCUCCUCAUUCCACUUGCUUCACUCUGCAUCAGUUAAUACAAGUCUUUCCAGGUUUCUCUGUAACUGUCCCUUUAGUCCC